GCCUGGUUGGCUUAUCUGUAGAGCAUGUGACUCUUGAUCUCAGGGUCAUGAGUUCAAGCCCCAUGUUGGGCA
rnacentral:tRNA from 1 species